rnacentral:rRNA from 1 species
CCUUAGAUGUUCUGGGCCGCACGCGCGCUACACUGACGGAGCCAGCGAGUACUUCCUUGUCCGAAAGGUCCGGGUAAUCUUGUUAAACUCCGUCGUGCUGGGGAUAGAGCAUUGCAAUUAUUGCUCUUCAACGAGGAAUCCCUAGUAAGCGCAAGUCAUCAGCUUGCGUUGAUUACGUCCCUGCCCUUUGUACACACCGCCCGUCGCUACUACCGAUUGAAUGGCUCAGUGAGGCGUCCGGACUGGCCCAGAGAGGUGGGCAACUACCACUCAGGGCCGGAAAGCUCUCCAAACUCGGUCAUUUAGAGGAAGUAAAAGUCGUAACAAGGUCUCCGUUGGUGAGCCAGCGGAGGGAUCAUUACCGAGUUUACAACUCCCAAACCCCUGUGAACAUACCUUAAUGUUGCCUCGGCGGAUCAGCCCGCGCCCCGUAAACGGGACGGCCCGCCAGAGGACCCAAACUCUAAUGUUUCUUAUUGUAACUUCUGAGUAAAACAAACAAAUAGAUCAAAACUUUCAACAACGGAUCUCUUGGUUCUGGCAUCGAUGAAGAACGCAGCAAAAUGCGAUAAGUAAUGUGAAUUGCAGAAUUCAGUGAAUCAUCGAAUCCUUGAACGCACAUUGCGCCCGCUGGUAUUCCGGCGGGCAUGCCUGUUCGAGCGUCAUUUCAACCCUCAAGCCCCCCGGGUUUGGUGUUGGGGAUCGGCUCUGCCCUUCUGGGCGGUGCCGCCCCCGAAAUACAUUGGCGGUCUCGCUGCAGCCUCCAUUGCGUAGUAGCUAACACCUCGCAACUGGAGCGCGGCGCGGCCAUGCCGUAAAACCCCAACUUCUGAAUGUUGACCUCGGAUCAGGUAGGAAUACCCGCUGAACUUAA